GAUUUCUGGCCUGGUGUGCCUGGCCCGCCAGCGUUAGCUGUGUGAGUGUCGGGACGCGCCUGCCAUCCUUCUAGAGAACAUACUUACCUUUCAUUAGGCCGAGUAUGCCAUCUAGAUCUUUUACUUUGAAAAAAUUAGAGUGUUUAAAGCAGGCUUUUGCUAUGAAUACAUUAGCAUGGAAUAAUAAUUUAGGACUUUGGCCCUAUUUUGUUGGUUUCUAGGACUGAAGUAAUGAUUGAUAGGGAUAGUUGGGGGUGCUCGAAUUCAGCGGCCAGAGGUGAAAUUCUUGGAUUCGCUGAAGACGAACUCAUGCGAAAGCAUU
rnacentral:rRNA from 2 species